rnacentral:rRNA from 1 species
CAGCCGCCACGGUAAUACGUAGGUGGCAAGCGUUGUCCGGAAUUAUUGGGCGUAAAGGGCUCGCAGGCGGUUUCUUAAGUCUGAUGUGAAAGCCCCCGGCUCAACCGGGGAGGGUCAUUGGAAACUGGGAAACUUGAGUGCAGAAGAGGAGAGUGGAAUUCCACGUGUAGCGGUGAAAUGCGUAGAGAUGUGGAGGAACACCAGUGGCGAAGGCGACUCUCUGGUCUGUAACUGACGCUGAGGAGCGAAAGCGUGGGGAGCGAACAGGAUUAGAGACCCCAGUAGUCCCUGUCUCUUAUAC